AUGUCGUUAUGACCGCUUACUGUACCACCGCUUUAAAAUAUGACCUGGCGCAUUUGUUUAUGGUGUAUUUCGACUUUGAUGCCAAUGGUUUUGUAAAUUGAAUCACGUGCAUACUAGUCAACAACUGGAUGUAUUCUCUUCUCUUUUCAAACUUGUUGUUUGUUUAGACAACCACCUUCGUUCACGAUUAGACUGAAAUACAAAUAAAUUUGCAAAAAUGCGCUAAAAACAAGCUCCAACCCCCUUUGAUCACGUGACAGAAACAGAUUGGGACUAAACUAAUUUGUUGUUUGUGAUUAAGUGAAAAUAAAAAUAGUAUUUCCAUUUUUCUUUUGCCUAAUAGCAAAAAUAUCUCAUAAUUCCUUGUUUAUUCAAGGCAAUUUUUAUCCGUUAUUGGUAAGUUUGGGAUGGCAAAACGGGCACAAAGCCACCCUCGUGCAUAACAAAUUGGUAUUGAAUAAAACACGAAUAUAAACUGGAAGAACUUGAAGACACGGAGUCAAUAUAGGCGUAUAGCAAGUGAAAAAUCACCCGGGGAGGAAGAGCACAAUCAGCAACUCUGCGAAAUCACAAAAUCCGGAAGAAACUAAUAAAAGGGGACAACAGGGACGAAAGAAAAGGUAAUGUUAAGGCAAUGAGAUGGAAAAUGAUAUACGGAAAAACGAAAAGCACAUGUAAAGAUAGAUAUGUACUAAGAAAAGGAACAUGGAACAUAAGAACAAUGCGUACUCCCAGUAAAAUGGAAGAAAUCGCCAAAGAAAUGAAGACAUAGGAAUCCUAGCAAUACAGGAGGUGAGAAAGAAUAUUGUGCACACCAUUAAAACUUUGAAUAUAAUCAAAACUACCACCUUAUCUGAUGUAGAAAUAUUUAAUCUGGACCACCCUCAAGAAUAGGUAUUUACGAAUCCACGUCCCUUCCGGUUUUCAAGCCCGGUGAUAGUAAAUGUUGACGGAAAUUGAUAAUUGAAGCUGGAUAAGGUUAGGUAUCUAUUUACCAUGGAAAAAAUCUUCAAGUGAGUUUUUUACAUAAACUGAGUGAAAAGGCACAAGAGGAGCCUAUUUUUAACAUUUAGCCGCAAUAUAUACAAGGGCAGUCGGUCUUUCUUGUCUGGGUUAUAAAUAAUAUAUUCAUAUUGACAAGAACACGUGCAAGGAAGCCAGUCGUGUUUGUGUGUUAUGUUUAUCGUAUAAUGUGAAUAAUUAUACUUUACAAUAAACGUAUGAAUGAAA